rnacentral:tRNA from 1 species
GUCAGUGUGGCCGAGUGGUUAAGGCGACAGCCUCGAACUUGCGAAAAUUUCGAUUAUUCGCUCGAAAUUCGCUAUAGAAAGCUGUUGGGUUCGCCCGCGCCGGUUCGAAUCCGGUCGCUGACG